UAUGGCCAUAUCACAUUGAAAAGCUAGUUCUCGUUCGAUCACCAAUGUUAAGCAAUAUUGAGCUUAGUUAGUGCCUAGAUGGGUGACCCCUUGGGAAUACCAGAUGCUGUAAG